rnacentral:rRNA from 1 species
AUUGAACGCUAGCGGGAUGCUUUACACAUGCAAGUCGAACGGCAGCGCGGACUUCGGUCUGGCGGCGAGUGGCGAACGGGUGAGUAAUGUAUCGGAACGUGCCCAGUAGCGGGGGAUAACUACGCGAAAGCGUAGCUAAUGCCGCAUACGCCCUACGGGGGAAAGCAGGGGAUCGUAAGACCUUGCACUAUUGGAGCGGCCGAUAUCGGAUUAGCUAGUUGGUGAGGUAACGGCUCACCAAGGCGACGAUCCGUAGCUGGUUUGAGAGGACGACCAGCCACACUGGGACUGAGACACGGCCCAGACUCCUACGGGAGGCAGCAGUGGGGAAUUUUGGACAAUGGGGGCAACCCUGAUCCAGCCAUCCCGCGUGUGCGAUGAAGGCCUUCGGGUUGUAAAGCACUUUUGGCAGGAAAGAAACGUCGCGGGCUAAUACCCCGUGGAACUGACGGUACCUGCAGAAUAAGCACCGGCUAACUACGUG